GACGAACGCUGGCGGCGUGCUUAACACAUGCAAGUCGAACGGAAAGGCCCUGCUUUUGUGGGGUGCUCGAGUGGCGAACGGGUGAGUAACACGUGAGUAACCUGCCCUUGACUUUGGGAUAACUUCAGGAAACUGGGGCUAAUACCGGAUAGGAGCUCCUGCUGCAUGGUGGGGGUUGGAAAGUUUCGGCGGUUGGAGAUGGACUCGCGGCUUAUCAGCUUGUUGGUGGGGUAUUGGCUUACCAAGGCUUUGACGGGUAGCCGGCCUGAGAGGGUGACCGGGCACAUUGGGCCUGAGAGACGGCCCAGACUGCUACGGGCGGCAGCAGUGGGAAAUCUUGCACAAUAGGCGGGAGCCUGAUGAAGCAACGCCGCGUUCGGGAAGACGGCCUUCGGGUGGUAAACAACUUUCGCCUGUGACGAAGCGUGAGUGACGGUAAUGAGUAAAGAAGCAACGGCUAACUACGUG
rnacentral:rRNA from 1 species